GUUAAUCUAUUUAAUCCAUUUAAUAUUUAGGUAUGAUUGAAUCAGAUAAUCUGUUAAUCUAUUUAAGAUCUAUUUAAUAUAUUUAAAACCUGUUUAAUCUAUUUUUGAUCCUUUCAAUCUAACUUGGUUAAUCUGUUAAAAAUCUAUUUAACUUAUUUAAUCUAUUUAAUCUAACUUGAUCUGUUUAAUAAAUGAGUUAAAUGGAUUGGAUAUGAUUGGAUUAUCUGUUUAAUAAAUAGGAUGAAUUUGGAUUGAUGAUUUUUUAUCCGAUCUAUACUGAUCCAAUCGGAUUGCCUGUCCAAUUUUUUGUAUGUAGAGGAAAAAAUGAUCCUCAAACCAUAAUCGAAACUCUAAUUAUUUAUUUUUGUUGGAAUUUAAGAUUUGG
rnacentral:lncRNA from 1 species